GCCCCAGCGCCCCUUGGAAGCCAAUUUGUGAGGGAGUCUUCUUCCUUCGCGCCUUCCUCUUCCUUCUUCUUGUUUCCGCUCCAGGGCAGCCUGACAGAGCCGCUCCAAGGUUCUGCUGGCCGUGUCUAGUCGAGUGCAGCAGAAGUCCCAGGUAGCUGAGAAGUUCAUGGAAUCUUCUUAUUUGGCUAACUUGCUGGAAGGCUUCAGAAGACCUGUGAGUAAGAGCCAAGAUUUCCCAGACCAGACUACAGCCAAGAUCAGCACAGCUGUCUACCCAACCUCCACCUCACCACAGAGAAUGGAAGAAUCACUCAGCCAUCCUAUAGACUGUGAGUAACAAUGAAUGGUUAUUGUUUCUAGGCACUGAGUUUUGUGAUGGUUUGUUACGCAGCAACAGCUGACUGCUACAGAGAUGUUGCCCACCCUCACAGCCCCAUGGAUCUCUGUGCUUUCAUUGAAAAGCAAAAGCAACCUCUGUUUUCCUCUUCUCUGUGGCCACCAGGGCUGCUGCCCAAACAGAGAGGCAAUUUGCUUAGUGGCAGAGGUUGUGACCUCCAGAGUCAGACAGUCCUGGAAUCCUAUCCCAGCUGUGUGACCUGCAGUUAGCUACUUAACCACUCUGUGCCUCAGCGUCCCCAUCUACAAAAGGCACAGUUUCUACCCCAUCAGAUUGUGGUAAGGACUAGAAAAGACAUUGGAUGUAAAGUGCAUGACACCAAAGUGCUCCAAAUGACUUUUUUGUUGUUGUUUAUUUGUAGUGGUGGUUGUUCAAAUUUUCCCCCAAAAAGCCUCUGCUUAUCUUCCUCAGCCCAGAUUGCCUGAAUUUUUUGCCAGGAUAUCUUCCCAGUGGAGGGAGACAAGGAGAAUGGGUAGCCACAUGCCUUUGGUGCAGAUUUCACAAACACUGUGAUUUUUGGCAAGCAGAGUCUGCCAGUUGCAUAGGAACAAACCUUCCUGAUAACAUCCCAGUUUAACCAUCUCCAAAGCACUUUCAUAUCCAUGCUCAGAUUUGAAAGCCUCACAAGAAUCCUGGGAGGUGGGCAAGGCAGGAACUGGCAGCCCCAUUUUAUAGACGAAGACACUGAGGCUUGGAGAGUUCCCCUGACUUGCAGAAGGUAAAAUGUGGCCCAGGUUAUCUGGUCACAGAGGAGAGCUGCCCCUGUCCUGGGUCACUCAGCCUCUCCCACAGGGACAGGUCUCAGCCGUGGAGAUGCUGGAAAGAGCUCUGGAAUCCCUGAUGCGGGGCUACACCCUAGAGUCCUAAAUGUCCCUUUGUAGAAUAUGAUUUUAUUCCCUGAGCGGGAGGUGUCUUCCUCUCCCUGAGCCAGUAGAGUAGUUUGGGAGUUACACUGGGAUAUCUCUUUAGUGUUUAGCCAAAUCAGGAUUUUAAAUUUAAUCGUGAUUAGGCAGGGUCCCUUCACACUGUCUGUCACCCCCGACAGAGUUAAAACACCAAUAGCAAUGCUGGUCCCAGUGGAGAUCCUUGUCCCUAGCGUCGUGACGCCCAGGGAGCCUGGUUAUGGAUGUAGCCAGCUGUCUCCCCGACUCUCUCCUUCAGGCUUAGCCUCACCCGCCAGCUCACUGGGUGCAAACAGGAGGUGGAGGGGUUCUUGCUGUGUGUUAUGUGUUUAUUCAUGGGUUUACUCAGUUGCUUCUCUACAAAACCAGACAGUGCCCCCUUUUCACCUCUCCUUCCCAAAAGUUACUUACAGAGUUUGCCAAGAAGGCUGGAAAGUUGUUAUGGCUUCCGGAAGGCCCAAAACACAACCGAAAAACAAAAACCAAAAACAGUG